UACGAAGGGGGCUAGCGUUGCUCGGAAUCACUGGGCGUAAAGCGCACGUAGGCGGAUUGCUAAGUCAGGGGUGAAAUCCUGGAGCUCAACUCCAGAACUGCCCUUGAUACUGGCGGUCUCGAGUCCGGGAGAGGUGAGUGGAACUGCAAGUGUAGAGGUGAAAUUCGUAGAUAUUCGCAAGAACACCAGUGGCGAAGGCGGCUCACUGGCCCGGUACUGACGCUGAGGUGCGAAAGCGUGGGGAGCAAACAGG
rnacentral:rRNA from 1 species